UCACCCUGAUUAGGCUUUGAGGGACUGUCUCUGCAAAAGCAGAGGAAGGAAGGACCGUGCAGCUGUGUAGAGUUGGAAUUGAUCCCUAAGGCUGGACAUGGGGCGGGAAAGCCCCAAGGCACUAAGACAAAGGGGGAAGGCAUGAAUGCCACGGACAUAUGUGGAGAUCAGAGGACAGCGUUCACGAGUCCUUCAAAAACAGGUCUGGAACCUAAGUCUCGCCAGGACUCACUCAAAGCCGUGCCUCACGUUCACCUUGCUACUACUCCACAUGGUGUGGACUAAGAGUACAUCCUGGAGGACUGAAGUUUGUGAUUAGCUACACCAUCCCCAAAGAAACAGAGACUCCUCCAUUUUUCUCUCCAAUGCUCCCUACAACACACACAACACCUUUAAAAUACUGGGACAGGGCACCACAAAGAGACCUACAGGGCUACAAGGUGUAGAACCUCUGUAGGAGCACAGUUAGGUCAUGGGGAAGAAAAAAAAUUGCUCCAGACCAACAGGCAAAGCCAAAGAAGCACCCCAGAAAAAUGAAAAUGUGUAGAGCCCAAAAUAAACGAAUUGCCCUUCCCUUACCCAGUGCUCCAGUGGAAAGGAAAAUGGAUAGGCUUGCCUUCUGGCCAGGCCUGGGAGCUUGAUCAGAUUCAGACAGACACACCCAUGCACUCAGCAGUAAGCUCUGAGCUACAAGAGCCAAACCUUGGGCUUCCCAAAAGCCAAAGGAGAAGCAGCCCCAGUCUGGGUCCAGGGCUCUUGUUCAAAGCCACCGUCUCCUCAGACACUGCAGGCCGUCAGGCAGGGCUAUAAAAUGUGCCUCGACUGAAUUUUUCCACGGACACAGCCCCGAAUGGGACUACCAGGCUCUGAAGGAGCGUCAGGCUCGCUGACUGGGCUCCAGGAGCUGCAGCUGGAAAGAGGGAGGCUAUUUGUGUGUCAGGGUUGCCAUUUCUCUCCUGAAUCUCUUUCCAAGGCCUAGUGGGAGCAAAUCGAGUAAGUUUUCAUUCAGGGCUGGUUUGGGGCUGGAAUUCAGUGCAAAUUGCUUACAUCUGCUUGGCCAUGUCCCAGACAAGCAGGUAGUUUAGAGAAAGGAGGGGCUGUAUCAGCCCACUUCUGUAGCCCAGGUAGCUUGCCAGCCGCUAAGGAAUCAAAGGCCUGCUAGGGUCUAUCAGUCCAGGCUGCAGAACUCUCUGACCAAGUUGAAUAAAAACACCAGGGCAACCAGAGACAAUAGGACUUUCACCCUAAAUAUGACUGGUGGGCUGGGACUGGGAAACCACAAAGAUACCUAAAGGGAGGUGAGAUGUAGGGCCAGGUUAGCCUGAAGGAGCAAUGGCAGAGUUUAGACACUUCAACCUCUGCACAACAAGGGUGAAUGCACUAACCUCAUACAUUUGGUAACCUCUUUCCACACCCCAGAAGCCUGCCAAGCCCCUGGACUUUUCACCCCACCCACCCCAGCUUGGCAGUUUUGCUGGGGCUUCCAGCUUCUAUCAUCGCACCAAAGCUGCAGCUGUGUAAAACUGAAAAAUGAGGGGCAAGUACUGCCCAGGAGAGGAGCACUUUCCCGGAGGGCCGGGGACUCGGGCCUGAAGGUCCUAGUCUCUCCUGCAAGCUUUCAGUCUUCUGCUUUUGCAGUAUCCUUAUAAGGCCAACCCUACCCUCCGCCUGGCCGAAAAUGUGUACCGUCCCGAGGUUGGACGCUGACUUCUCACUCCCGCUGCACAGGAAGGCACCACUCCCACCACCCCCCACUCCAGGACAGGUUUUGCUCUUAAACAAACUAAUAAACAAAUCGACUCCAAAGCGG
rnacentral:lncRNA from 1 species